UACGUAGGGGGCAAGCGUUGUCCGGAAUCAUUGGGCGUAAAGAGCGUGUAGGCGGCCCGGUAAGUCCGCUGUGAAAGUCCAGGGCUCAACCCUGGGGAUGCCGGUGGAUACUGUCGGGCUCGAGUCCGGAAGAGGAGUGUGGAAUUCCGUGGUGUAGCGGUGAAAUGCGCAGAUAAUCAGGAGGAACACCUAUGGCGAAGGCAGCUCGCUGGGACGGUAGCUGACGCCUGAGACGCGAAAGCGUGGGGAGCGAACAGG
rnacentral:rRNA from 1 species